UCGAAAAGGAGAUAACCGUGCAGAUCACGCAAAGGUUAGUUAGCAAGUUCACGGAAGCCCGUGCCAUCGCUCGGACCGCAGAGGUCCUAAGAGCGAUUGGUCUACAAGACGAAGCGGACAGUUUAGAACAAGGUGAAAAUGACCGUAAGUAGCUGGAGGUGAAGGGGCCAAUGUCGCGACAGGAGCGGGAGCAGCAAGCCCGACUGCGGCGGAGGGAAACGGCGGAAGCGCCACGAGCUGCAGCCCCAAACCGACGGAGGGCCAGCAUUUCGUGGACAAGAACCAUGUGGGACUG